rnacentral:lncRNA from 1 species
AUUCAAUUAUGGUUACAGUGGCAUCUUUCUUCCAAAGAAACAGAUCUUCAUGAAUACAUAUUUUAAACUUAUUUAUGAAUUUACUUCACAUACUCUUCCAAAUAACAGCUGACAGUAACAACCAGAAAGAACAUGAGAUAAUAGCUUAGGAAUGAUAAUACAUUUCUCAGAUCUGAGCAAAUCCAAAGACGAUUUGCUAGUAAAACCCUCAAAGGAAAUGAUAUGUGUGGGAUAGAAGAAGGUGAAAAUACUUAAUAGCAUAUUUAUGUUUGACUCUUCCAAAAAUGUUUGAAAUUUAGACGAAACAGUAUUCUAUCUCCCAUGACUUCCUACCAGCCUUCCAAUGCUUAUAUUAUUAAAGAUAAAACCUCCCUACUAGAAAUACCUUUAAAAAUAUUAAUUACAUAUAUCAUCCCACAUGACCUCCUAGGUAGGAAGUUUCAUGCAUUCAGGGUUUCUAAUAACGUGGACACUGGAAGUCACUGGUGGAUAGGUUAAAAGCUGGUCAUUUAAGGGACAUCAUCUCAACAAAAAUGCCCAAGAGAGGACACUUGGGGAGUUCAGGGGAAAGUUUCUCAAAGUUAUGAAGAUAUUUAGGGUCCACCAGCAUUUUCCAGGACGAUUCUUAUAGAAAAACAAAAUUUGGGGUAUGAAAUGGGUCAAAGGGGGAAACUUAAAAUGUUCCUGGACCAAGCGGGCCUGGUCUUCUCUGGCUCGGAGCUUGGCUGGCACUUUAUUGUCCCCCAGGUUGUCUCCAGAGCUGCUUCAGAGUGUGCGCUUCAUGGCUGGGGCUCCACCAGCUCCAUCCUUCCUUUUCUUGUGCAAGAAAGACUGCACAGAGGGGCCUCAGGCCUCCUGGCCCCCCAGUUGUAUACCAUCUUUUGGUGGUGUGAGUGUUCAUGCUUGGGGGGGGGGGGUAGGUGGGAAGGGCUUGGGAAAGAAGAAAAGAGAAAGAGGAGAGGAUGUCUGCUUCCCCGAGACACACUUGCAGAGGAUACUUUGACACAAAGAACGGGACACACCUAUGAGCAAGAAGGAGGCCAAUCUGGGCAAAACCCCCACGUGUGGAGCUUCCCUUCCUGAACCUCUGUUCCUAGGUACCAUUCCCUAGCCACCCCCCCCCCCCAUUUCAGAGCACCUCCCGAUGCCCUCAUGCUGAUGAAGGCUUCCAAGAGGUAUCUUCCAUGCCACCUAGUCCAUGUUCUGGGGCUCCCUCUGUGUCCAGGUCCAGUGGGAACCCACAUGGCCUGUGGGCCACUCUCGGGAAUAACUGAGUGACUGCUGGGCUAAUCAUAGCUCCUAAUUUGACCUAGGAUGGUUGCUAAUUGACAGGAUAGGUGAACUUAAUCUGUUCCAUAGGGAGUAUUUACUCUUAAUAAGGGACCAUCAGUGCAUUAACCCAAAGCUCCUAGGAGAGCUCCACACUCGGUAGAGGAUGGGGUGUGGAAGUUGUCCAGGGGAAGCUUCCAUCUCAAUCACUUUGAAGGAAAGUAGGUUCAACAUCCCUGCUCCUUGUCAGAUGCAGCCAGUGGCAGAACUAAGUUUAGCAAGGCCUUCAGCAUCCUUCCAUCGGUGUUAGGCUUCUCGGGCUGCCAUCCCCAAACAUUACACACUGGGUGGUUUCAACACGGGAAAUUUAUUUCUCACUGUGCUGGAGGCUGGAAGUCCAAGAUCCAGGUAUCCAAAGAUUUGGUUUCUCCUGAGGCCUCUCUCCUUGCCUCACAGAUGGCCUUGGCUCUGUGCGUGUACAUCCCUGGUAUCUCUGUAUUGAAAAUUUCCUCUUAAAAGUAUAUCAGUCAGAUUGCAUUAAGGGCCACCCUAAUAUCUGAUCUCACGUUAGCUUAAUCACAUCUUUAAUGGCCCUGUCUCCAAAUGGAGUCACAUUUUGAUGUACUGAGGGUAAGACCUUCAACAUAUGCAUUUUAGAGGGGCUCAAUUCAGCCCAUAACGCCAUCCAUGGCCAUCUGCGCCCAUCCCACCUUGAGUAGCACUAGGGUUCAUUAGCUGGAGCCACAUUCGUUUCUGACACUGCAAUAUAUCCUUUAGUUUGGGGACAGAAGAUCUUGGAAGAAACUCUAGAUUUUCCCUCAAUGUUAACAAAAAUGAGGGCAGCUUCAUUCAAGCCAAAAAAAAAAAAAUACCUAAUGUUUAGUAGGGCAUUAUAUUCCCUCCGUUAACACUUUUCAGUGUUGGUUAUGAUCAAAGGUUCAAUUUGGCCACCCUGAUACGGUUGAUUCAACUGUAAAAGGACUUUCAACCUGGCCUGGUCUGUAAGCUCUCUAGGCAAAAAGACCCUUAGAUAUGAAGCAAGCACAUUUGAGAAAAGGAAUGUUGUCCUGAGCCCCAAGUGACUUCUUCCACUCCAUUCCCGCUGCCUCCCAGGCCAUCAGCAGGCCCAGAGGACGUCUUCCUCCAAGGAGGCAGGUGUGUUGCUCCCGCUCCACGCAAUAGAUGCACCAUGGCACCCUCGACGUCGUUUAUCGCAGGAAAGUUUCACAGGUGUCAGUUAAGCCCCAUUUCCCUGGUUUCACAGAAGAGAAAAGCUGCAGUGGUCAUGUCUAUGAGGCAGAUGUGCCUGGGCCCCAAGGUGGAGGUUUAGUAUAUGUGCAUUCGGCUUUGGCCACAGGAGAAUUACCAUAAAAAUGGAAAAUUUGAGUCUGAUCUUGUCUUUCAUCAGCGACUGCGCCACACGGCCAGCAAAAGCAUCAUCACCACGGCAGUGAGGGAGUAGGAAAGCACCCAUGGUCAUUGUGCAAGCUGAAGACAGGGUGACAUUAUCUCUAAUGCUGAGUUAAGCGGUUUGUCUAAGGUCACUUAGCAAGUGUGUAGUAAAUCCAGGAUUAGAACCUUGGCACCUAGUCGGCAGUCUGUAUGCUGGGCUGGGGACAGACAGACUUGCUGAUCUCGUGACGUAACCUCCUUCUCACCCUCUCCUCCUUAACCCUGUGCAGCCUCUGCCCUGAGCCCCUGUGUCCAGCUCAUCCUGUUACAGGGCUGGCACCUCCUGCCUGACCUGCAGCUGUUAGGAGCUCCCCAGUCCUGCCCCGCCUCCCUCCUGCCUUUUCUUUUUUCCUCUCUUUUCACUUAUUCUCUAAGCAAACAUUUGUGGAGGACCAUUGUAAGAAAUGGGCAAUGUCUUGUGCCAUGGGGGAAGCUAAGAUAAAUUUGAAAGGUGUCUACAUAAAUAUCUAAGAUCUAAGUGUCUAAGGUAAAUUAGACAGUUAGGUGAAACGUACACAAACACCUGAUUAUUCUGCAGUACAGACAGGGACAUGCCCGAGAUUCAGCUGUUCUUUCUCAGCUUCGAAUCCCCCCUCCUUCCUCGGGCUGUGUGAGGCUUUGCCCUGCAAACCCCGAGUCUGCAUUGCCACUUCUGUUCCUUAGACUCCACCAAAAGUGGGUACCAGGGGGAGCCUGCCAGGCGGGAGGAGGGAGGUGGCCCUGCCCACCCUGUCGGGAUCGCUCCCUGUGACUCAUGAUCUGCCCAGCGCACACUUCACCCGGUGCCUCCCAGGAUGCCUCUGAGGUGCCUUCUGAUUCUCUUUUUGCCUUUUCAGUUAACUAGUUGAAAAUUCUUUAAACUGUACUUAUUUGCUAGGGCGACUGUUACAGAGCACCCAGAAAUUUAUUGUCUCACAGUUCUGGAGGAUGGAAGUCCAAGAUCGAGGUGUCCAGGUGUUAGCAGGGCCAGUUCCCACUGAGGCUAUGAAGAGAGUCAGCUCUGUGCCUCUCUUCUACCUUCCAGAGGUUUCUGGCCAUUUUUGGCUUUCUUUGUCUUAUACGCGCAUCACCUUCAUCUCUGCCUUCACCUUCCUGCGGUGUUCUCUCAGUGCGUGUUUCUGUGUCCACGUUUCCCCUUUUUUACAAGGACGCUAGCCAUAUUGGAUUGGCAUCUACCUACUCUAGUAGGACCUCAUCUUAAUAAGCAUACGAAUCUUGUGGGGGACACAAUUCAAUCCAUAACAAUAUCUUAUUAAGACUUCUGCAUAUUAAUUUUUAUCUGUUCACAUAACUGUGUAGUUUCUACCCUCACACUUGACCUGGACUGAUACCAGGGACCCCGCCUUUAGGAACCAAAGGAGGAAGCCAUUCCUUCUAUCAAUGAGGAAAGGGUGACCUGUCACUGGGACCAGGCUUGGAAAGAUGACUUGAGUUGGGGUAGAUAGAGAACAUGAGCAAAGGGCGCUCUGAAAUCAACCGUGAGCACGCUGGCGAGCAUUCAUGAGGGACACAGUGGGAUGCUGGGGCUCAAUCAGAGUGGAUUUCAGUAGCAGGAGAUGAGUUUGGGCUUUAUUCUCUGGGCAAUGAGGAGAUAUGUAGGCAUGUGAGGAGGAGCAGACAAGACGAGAUGUGUCUAUAGACUGUCAAAAACUGAUUGAGGUCAGAGCUGUGGGACCAGAAUCAUCUCAACAAAGGUGACUUUGAGGGUGUGCUCAAGUCCUGGUGUGGUGGGAGUGAUGAGCCUCUGCACGCCGGGACUUCUCCUGGCACUUGAGUGAUUCUGUGGGUAGAUGAGGAGGAUUGUCAGCCUCCUGCCACCUUCCUGUUCCUUGGGGUCCUGCUCGGGAGCACCAGGAGCAUAAGGGUAGCCCAACUCGGGAGGACCCUGGGGCCCUUCUCCUUGUCCUUUAGGCAGAAUAGUUCAACUUCCCUCAUUUUACAUCUUGAAUUUCCAGACAAGGUUUUGUUUCAACAAAGGGUUUUGUGCCUAAAUAUGAACUUGAAGCAUCAUUGACGUCCGUGAUUGUCAGGAUUCUGCUUCUGUCAUCUUCAAGUGAUUUGAUGAUGCGUAAACCUCCAAUCGUUUGUGAAAUGGGGCAUAUUAACACAUCCCCUUUCUCUGGUCAGAUGAGAUGGGUUUUUAUACAUGUCCAGAAUAUACAGUCAUAUCUCUUAUGACAGAAAAUUUCAGUAUUUGGUUGAUUCUUUAUGAGGUGUAAAAUGUUAAACAGAAAUCUGGAAUGACAGAAAUGUAGGGAAGAAUAAUGCUAUCAAAUAAAAGCAAUUAAUAUUAUUAAUAUGGAUAAAAUAAUUUACUUGCAAGGCUUCCCUUGGCAUCAAAACAUUCAGGUCAUAACACAAAGACCAAGUUAAUAGUUUCAUCACGAGGGAAGACAAAGCCAGUGGUUAUAAAGUAGAAUAACAAUCCUUCUGUGUUAUAUCACAGAAUUCCUGAUUGACAUGUGAAGGAGAAAUAGUUCAAUAUCACAGGGAAAAGAUGAUGCUUCUAUCUAGAUAGUUUCCUCACUAAUUCCAUAAUGCAUAAUAUAUGCAAAACAUGUCAUCGAUUCUCAUCUACCACACAGCAGACUCAAUGUCAAUUAAUACAUUUUAUCAGCACCCUUUGGUACCUUCACUUGGGAAUAAACUCUGUCAUGCUUCCAGUAGUCAGCUCGGUUUUCUCUGUGCACGGGAAGGAGAGAAAUAUGCUUGUGCUGUAGUUUUGUUACCAGUUGGGUGGUUGAAAGGCUCAUCAAAUCUGUAGUCAAUUUCUGGGCAGCUCGCACCUAACUUGAUUAUAUCACUCCAUAACCAGGUUAUAGGAAGUUAAACAAAGCCCCAUUAAAACCCUGGCAUUAACUCUUAUCCCUUCAGGAAGAUUUAGACUCUUAUCAGAAGAGACGGGAUUUUGUAGAGCAGUGCCCAUGUGUAAAUCUAUCUGUCCAUGCAUGGAGAUCUCUGUCAUGGCACAGGACAAGAACCUCGACUUUCCAGGAAUCCAAAACAAAGUUAAUCUGAUCAACAAGGAUCAAUAGAAAAGUACUUCUCCUCUCUUGGGAUGUGGUGUCCUAAGAGGGAAAGACGAAACAGGCGAAGACUCAGACACACUCGCCCUCCUCGUUCCUGACUCAAGAUGACAGAUCACUAGCAGGGACCAGGGGCCUACACUGGCACUUGUUCAACGGGUGGUACCAUGUGUCCUGACUUCACGUGGUGGAGGCGAAGAUGCCUAUGCCGUGAGACAGCGAGCGUCCAGCGUGGGCCAGGCUUGCUAGGGUCCACUCUGUGGGCACUUCCUCAGCAGCAGGCUCCCACCGUCCUCUCCAGUGGCUGGGUUUCGGGUCCUCUCCCUACAGGAGCUGGUCCCAGGCCAGGAAGUCAGAGAUUCCCCAUGCAAGAAGGAUUUGGCCUCAGGAAGAUUCUGCUGCUGAAAUGGAGGGCCUGCGUGGAAAGGAGCUGAGAGUGGCCCCCAGGGACAACCAGUGAGGAAGUGGGGGCUUCAGUUCUGCAGCUGCAGGAAUGGAACUGGGGAGUGUGGAGAGUGAGUUUGGAAGCCAGUUUCUCGCCUGAGCCUGCUUUGUCUCCGGAUGCGAUGCAACAGUACGAUGGGUUGAGGAGACAACAUGGCUCAGUCAAACCCACAGAGAAGUGUAAAUUGUGGCAUCUUCUUCGUGGCCCAGGAAGAUUUGUGCAUGCAUCUUCAGACCAGAACCAACAACAAAGGGCAUUUUGCUUGAAAUUCCCAUAAAAAUUCACCCCUAGUUCGACACGGGAAUUUUAACACCUCAAGGCUAGUUCUUGGCAAAGACGCGAGCUCCUGAAGCGGAGGAGAAUUUGGGGUGUCCUCAGUGAUGAUGCUGGCGACAGCCAACUGCGGGAUAGCGAGUGGAGCUCUCGCAGGGUGGGCAGCCGUGGGACUGGAGGGCUGAAGCCGCUGGUGCUGGCAGCGGUUGACGCCACGCGAGUUCUCAGAGGGACGCCUGCACCUGCUGCCUUCUGCAGGGAGGCCCCCUCCACCCAACCCUGAAAUACUCUGAUGUUGGCGCUCCCGUGCUGCUUGCUUGCUGGCUGUGGACCACAGGAGGGGAGUCUGGGUCUGUGUUUCAGCUUGCCUCAAAUCUACCCUCUCGUGCUUGACAGUAUCUGCUUUCUGGGCAGCCAGCUGCAGAGAUGGGCAGCACCAGACUCCAGAAUCCACUUUUCCAAACUUCUCGU